AUGAAACAAAAAAAUUAACAUAAUUGACGAAAGAAGAUAUUCUUGAUUGACACUUGUCUUCAUCACCAGGACCCCUCCGCUGGAGUGGAGGAUGACCUGGACGACGACGCCAAGGAUACCACGGCCGGACCAACAACAGGAGGACCCCUCUGCUGGAGCCGAAGAUGACCUGGAUGACGACGUCAAGGAUACCACGGCCGGACCAUCAACAGGAGAAAGCCGGCACCCACAUGAGAAGCCAACAGCAGGUGGUCUGCUCCUCCAAUUUCCGUCUCUCACACUCAGGCUUAAAGUGACGCAGUGGGGCUUUAGAGAUAGGCAAAUAGCUUGAUAGGGAGCUAGGUGGAUAGGUUAGAGUGAGAGUAGAAUUUUGUAGGUGGUGCCAUGGCCAUGGCGGGAGGUAGUUGAGGUGGCAGUGUAGGUUGGUUGUUUUUUUAGGGGGGUGGGAGGUAGGACGGGAAGGGUGGCAGGGGUAGAAUGAUGUGGGUAGAGCUUCCUGCUGAUCUUGAGUUUGGGUGUGAGGUUGUUGGAGUGGCAGGUAUACUGGAUUGUUCCUUGAGGUUUUCUGGUACAGAACUGUAUCGAAAUGGAUUUUCAUCACCUGGACCCUUCAGCUGGAGUGGAGGAAAACCCCAUGGCCGGACCGUCAACUGGAGCUGCCAAGCCAACAGUUGACAGCCCCCCAAGAAGCAGAUACCCUGUUGUAAAAGGUAGGGCCUUCCACUCACCCUGGAUGGUUGCAUCACCCUUCUGCACAUGACUUCCAGUCAAAUGAGAGUGCUGUGCUAGCAUGAUCAAAUUGUGUCGACUGCACUGUGACAAUCAAUUUUCCAAUCAGUCAGUCAAGAACUAACAGACAAUUGCCAAACUUCUAGAGUCCCGCCAGCAGACAGCUACUCUUGAAUGGACUCGUCAACACCUCCAGAUAACUUCCCCGGACAACUUUAACAGC